AGCUUUGUGCAGUGGCAGUAUCGUAGCCAAUGAGGUUUAUCCGAGCUGCGAUUAUUGCCAAUUAUAAUGAAAUGUAUUGAGUUUCAACAAUUUAGAAAUCAGAAUGAUGUAAAGAAAAGUUAGUUAUACAUACGCAUGG